rnacentral:lncRNA from 1 species
UCGUGGCUGUCCUGGGCUUCUCUGACCUCAGCUCCAGCUUCGAGGGACUCCGGGCUGACCCAGAGUUUGCCAGAGCUGCAGGAGGUGUUGGAUCACUCAGAGAAGAUGUUUGUGCAAAGCGAAAGUCUACUGAAAACUGCUCAACAAGGCACUGGACGCUAUGGUCAAAGUGCACACGGUAUUGCCAAACAUCAAGAGUUUUGAAGAAGAGCCAACAACAGUUUUGAGCAAUUUGGGUGAAGGAGGGCGUUCUUUCUGACUGGACAUGUGACCCUUGCCCCUAGUUCCGGGCUGCUGUUCUGUGGAUCCAACUCUUGUUUGUAAAUCAGCCUCAGAGGCUGAAGAUGUCUGUCUGCCUCCCAGAGGAUGGGCGACUUCAGGGAUAGGACUCAAAGAGAGCAAGCUCCGAGCUUCCAGGCACAGAGCCAGCUGGUGCAAGGAAAACGACCAGGGGCAAAAAGGAGCACCACACAAAACAAACGCAGUCUAUUGUCCAAAAAGACCUACAGUCAUUAAUAUGAUCAAGCUGAACAGCAGGGAGUCAAAAUAGCCAAGGGAACAGAAAACCAUUUAACAAAAACACAAAAAAGGCUCAAUCCAUUAGCGCUCAAUACUCCAGCAACGCACCAGACAGUAAUCGACCUAUCAGAGAGAAAAUGCACAAAGCCAAGUGGAACCUAGCCAGUCCUAGCCGGUGCCGUUAGUCAUCUGGAUCUGUUGACAUUUGAAGAACACUCAUCCGACAAGUAUGGGUGAACAUCACUCUCAAAUUCAGAUAAAAUAUUCGCUGAGGUUACAUUCCAGACUGAAAACCACACUUAAACAAGCUUAAAAACAAAAGCCCUAGAAAAUAGGCGUCGGCAUCUGGCAUGAUAACACUCACCUCUCAUCCCAGCACUCAGGACUGUGAGCUAGAAGCUUGGCCUCUAGCAAGCCACUAUCUGGAAGCAAACAAAUGCAUGAUCUUGGAGUUGAGUGAAAUUAAACUAAGAAUAGUGGAAACAUUGCCGGGAAACCUCUAAAUAUUUGACAAAUGCACGCUAUAUUUCUAAACUGGUGACACAUGCUGUUAGACCCAAAUACUUGCCAGCAGAGCCAGGAGUGGUACGGCUUAGCUGGCCAGCGGACCCCAGGGCAAUGAAGGAUGCUGUUUUAUAACACAAGGUGCAAAGCACCUGAGGAGUGACACCAGAAGACUCUGACACUCCCAUGAACACACACAUCAUUU